AUCAUGCCCCUUAUGAUUUGGGCUACACACGUGCUACAAUGGACAAUACAAAGGGCAGCGAAACCGCGAGGUCAAGCAAAUCCCAUAAAGUUGUUCUCAGUUCGGAUUGUAGUCUGCAACUCGACUAUAUGAAGCUGGAAUCGCUAGUAAUCGUAGAUCAGCAUGCUACGGUGAAUACGUUCCCGGGUCUUGUACACACCGCCCGUCACACCACGAGAGUUUGUAACACCCGAAGCCGGUGGAGUAACCAUUUGGAGCUAGCCGUCGAAGGUGGGACAAAUGAUUGGGGUGAAGUCGUAACAAGGUAGCCGUAUCGGAAGGUGCGGCUGGAUCACCUCCUUUCUAAGGA
rnacentral:rRNA from 2 species